CCAAAUGUAUAAUUAGAAAAUUGUGUUUCAUUGUGAUUUUUGUACGUAAAUUGUGCUUGUGUUGCCUUUUCCUAUUUUAUUUUUUUGUUGUUUUGCCAUUUUCCUCACUAGCACACGCAGGUUGUGCCCGCUAUUGUUGUUGCUGUGCGGCACUAUCAAUACAUUGGUGCGUGUUGAGUCUUGGCAAUUUGCCUUUAAUUGAUAUGUAAUCAUUUGUCAACGUUGUGCAAAAUAAGGAAAUACUGCAUUUUCCAUCACCCAUUUCAGGCGCAUUUCUUGUUUUCGUUUUUCAGUGUUUCAGUGCAAAAUCAAUUUGAGCUGGUGGAGUGUGCAAAGCCAAUGUUGCCAAAUUUGUAAAAAAAAUAAAAACCAAACGAAAACACACGUAUUUGUUGUGAGUUUCUCGACAAAUUAUAUAAAUGCCUACAUAAAUGUGAGGAAUUCCACGCAAAAUAGUUGAAAUGUGUUGAGUGAAGUGCCAUAAAAAUUAAUAAAAAGAAUCAAGUAUUCCUUUUUUAAUUUCAAUUUCCUUUUUUCUCUACUAUAGCAGCUGAAAAAAAAAUAAUAGAAACUAAAUAAAGAAAUAUAAAGAAAUAAAAUAUGUGCAAGACGACUUUUUGCGUUGUAAUCAAUAAAUAAAUAAAUACAUACACACAUACAUAUUUGUCGCUCACUUUCGCAGGAAGCAGCAUUUCAAAUCACAACGAAAUCGAAAUCGAAAUAAAAAUAAAAAAUAACUAGUUUCCUUUACAUGUAUGUAUUUAUAUUCGUGUGAGUGUUUCUGCGCGCGCGUAAUUAUUUGUUGCUGCGCUCACUUUAUGCCUUUCGAUAAUUUCAUAUUUACAUGCAUCUAAAUUUUGCAAGUGCCUGAAAUUCCACGAAUGUGAUAAUGGAUGCAAUUUUCAUCACAUUCUAUAUAUGGAAAUUGCUAUCGUUGCAGCCGAAGGAUUUGUGGAUUUUAACUAAAUUACAAGUGUGUUAAAUCGUGAAUACCCUGUUGUGGUUGGCUGUGGUCGAAGUACAGUAGAGCAACACUAGAAUAAAUAAAUUAAUAUAUUUAUUAAAUAUACAUAUCAAAACAUGAAUAAAUACAUAUGUGUGCACAUGUAAUCGUGUAUGUAUAUCAGUGGUAAAUGAAAGGAGCAAUAAAUUUAAAAGUUCAAUUGAUUUCACAUUCAGCAACUGCUGUCACCAUUUAGCCGCGCGGUCAAUUUGCCACUUUGUCAAGUGUCUCGCUGAAUAAGUGUUUGUGCUUGUGUAAGAGUGUACGCGUGCGUGAAAUGUCAAAAGCUCAUUGGCAGAGUACAUCAGAGUACGCAUGAGUCAGAAAUAAUAAUAAGAAGUAACAAAAACCUUUUUAAUUAAAAAAAAAAAAAUUAUAUUGAAAAAUUAUCACCACAGCGAAAUUACUUGGUGAAUUUCCUUUCGAAAGUGUAAAGUGUUAAUUUAUUAAUAUUUUUGUUUAGUUCUUCAUUAUCGAUCAUUAAAAAGCCUACAACUCAUUGAAUUUAUGUUAAAAUUUGAAAAUGAAGUGUGUGCUACAUGCGCAAAUCAUCAACACAAUCAGCAUACAGUUGCUAAUGUUGUUAAUUUCGUUGAAUUCCCGCAGUGUCGAUUCGAGCUGAAUAGUUCCGAUUUGUGUUUUUCCCUUGAUAAAAAUAUUAGUAUUUUUUCUCUUCUUUCGUUUUUUGUUAUUUUAUUUCUUGCAUUUAAACGCGAUUUACGAAUUUCCACUUCAAACGAUGAGAUUACAUCAUAUUUUCUGGAUAUUCUGCAUGUCUUAAUAAAAUCCUCGGGGACCUGAAAAAAGCAUUUACGACGAUAGAGGUAAGUGAGAUAAAACACCUUUUUCUACAUAUUUUACCCUAUACUAGUUUUAAGCCGUGGCUUCUCAGCAUAUAAACAAAAUCGGGUAGAAUAAAAUAAAUAAAAUAA